GACGAACGCUGGCGGCGUGCUUAACACAUGCAAGUCGAACGGAAAGGCCCCUUUGGGGGUACUCGAGUGGCGAACGGGUGAGUAACACGUGAGUAACCUGCCCUUGACUUCGGGAUAACUUCAGGAAACUGGGGCUAAUACCGGAUAGGAAUCCUUGCUGCAUGGUGGGGGUUGGAAAGCUUCGGUGGUUUUGGAUGGACUCGCGGCUUAUCAGCUUGUUGGUGGGGUAGUGGCUUACCAAGGCUUUGACGGGUAGCCGGCCUGAGAGGGCGACCGGCCACAUUGGGACUGAGAUACGGCCCAGACUCCUACGGGAGGCAGCAGUGGGGAAUAUUGCACAAUGGGCGGAAGCCUGAUGCAGCAACGCCGCGUGCGGGAUGACGGCCUUCGGGUUGUAAACCGCUUUCAGCAGGGGCGAAGCUUGUGGUGACGGUACCUGCAGAAGAAGCACCGGCUAACUACGUG
rnacentral:rRNA from 1 species